UACGUAGGGGGCAAGCGUUAUCCGGAUUUAUUGGGUGUAAAGGGCGCGUAGACGGAGUUGUAAGUCAGAUGUGAAAGGUUGGGGCUCAACCCCAAGAGUGCAUCUGAAACUACAACCCUUGAGUGCAGGAGAGGAAAGUGGAAUUCCUAGUGUAGAGGUAAAAUUCGUAGAUAUUAGGAGGAACACCAGUGGCGAAGGCGGCUUUCUGGACUGUAACUGACGUUGAGGCGCGAAAGCGUGGGGAGCAAACAGGAUUAGAUACCCUGGUAGUCCACGCUGUAAACGAUGGAUACUAGGUGUGAGGUAGCAAUACUUCGUGCCGACGCUAACGCAGUAAGUAUCCCACCUGGGGAGUACGAUCGCAAGGUUGAA
rnacentral:rRNA from 1 species